rnacentral:lncRNA from 1 species
AUGGAAACGAUGGCGAAGAUUAACGGAGACAGCGGAGACAGCGGAGAAGGAGGCACCGGAGAAGGAGGAGUACUUUUUUGCAAAGACAAAAUAGAAAUGGUAGAGGAGAAGCAACGGUUUUCUCUCCAACAAGCUCGCUGUCGCCUAGGUUGAAGACGGUUGUGAAUGGGGCCAAGUCGCGCGUCGUAGGAGAAGAAAGAUGGGAGGGAGCGAAAGAAAGGAUAACUUAAGGGAUUAGGAUAAUAAGGUAGGGGCAAAAUUGGUAUUUUAGAUAGUUUUAACUCAAGUAUACAUUUAACCCAUGUUUAACCCGAGUUAAACUAACAGGGGAUAACAGCAAGGGUAUUUUGGAAUAACGGUGGAACCUAUGAGGGGCAUUUUAGAAAGAAAAAAAAAAUAGGGGUAGAUCGGAUAUAUCCAGACCCAUGAGGGGUAUAUAGGCAAU